rfam:Mustela putorius furo unplaced genomic scaffold scaffold00167, whole genome shotgun sequence.
ACAAAGGUCUCUCUGGAGACCACAAAGAUGUUAGGACAGAGAGACU